rnacentral:rRNA from 1 species
GUCCUUUUGAAUUUUAUAUAAGGUCUGACCUGCCCAAUGAGGAAUUGAAUGGCUGCGGUAUCCUAACCGUGCUAAGGUAGCAUAAUCAUUUGUCUUUUAAUUAAGGGCUUGUAUGAAAGGUUGGAUGAAAUAAUAACUUUCUUUAAUUUAAUUUAUGAAUUUAAUUUUUAGGUUAAAAAGCUAAAAUGUUUUUAUAGGACGAGAGGACCCUAUAGAUCUUUACAAUUUAUUGGAUAUAAUAAUUUGGUGAAUUUAUUUAUUAUUAUUUAAUAAUUNGUUUGAUUGGGGUGAUUGNNGAAUUUUUUUAACUUCCAUUUUUAUCUUUCAAAAAUUCUUGUUUUUUGAUCCAUCAAUGAUGAUUAAAAGAUUAAGUUACCUUAGGGAUAACAGCGUAAUUUCUUCGGAGAGUUCAUAUUGAUGAAGGAGUUUGCGACCUCGAUGUUGGAUUAAAAUUAGUAUUAGGUGUAGCAGCUUAAUGACUAGGUCUGUUCGACCUUUAAAGUUUU